rnacentral:rRNA from 1 species
CAGUAGCCGCGGUAACACGUAGGGUGCGAGCGUUAAUCGGAAUUACUGGGCGUAAAGCGUGCGCAGGCGGUUGUGUAAGACAGGUGUGAAAUCCCCGGGCUUAACCUGGGAACUGCGCUUGUGACUGCACAGCUAGAGUAUGGCAGAGGGGGGUGGAAUUCCACGUGUAGCAGUGAAAUGCGUAGAGAUGUGGAGGAACACCGAUGGCGAAGGCAGCCCCCUGGGCCAAUACUGACGCCCAUGCACGAAAGCGUGGGGAGCAAACAGGAUUAGAUACCCGCGUAGUCCCUGUCUCUUAUAC